GAUGAAGAACGCAGCGAAAUGCGAUACGUAAUGUGAAUUGCAGAAUUCAGUGAAUCAUCGAAUCUUUGAACGCAUAUUGCGCUCUCUGGUAUUCCGGAGAGCAUGCUUGUUUGAGUAUCAGUAAACACCUCAACUCCCUUUUCUUUUUUGGAAUUGGAGCUGGACUUGAGUGAUCCCAACGCUUUCUUCCAAGAAAGUGGCGGGUUGCUUGAAAUGCAGGUGCAGCUGAACUUUUCUCUGAGCUAUAAGCAUAUCUAUUUAGUCUGCCUAAAAAACAGAUUAUUACCUUUGCUGCAGCUAACAUAAAGGAGACUAGUUCUUGUGCUGACUGAUGCAGGAUUCACAGAGACAGCUUCGGCUGACUUUGUAAACUCGAUCUCAAAUCAAGUAAGACUACCCGCUGAACUUAAGCAUAUCAAUAAGCGGAGGA
rnacentral:misc_RNA from 1 species